rnacentral:rRNA from 1 species
UACGUAGGGGGCAAGCGUUGUCCGGAAUCAUUGGGCGUAAAGAGCGUGUAGGCGGUUCGCAAAGUCUGGUGUGAAAUCUCGGGGCUCAACCCUGAGCGGUCACUGGAUACUGGCGAACUUGAGUCCGGAAGAGGAGAGUGGAAUUCCUGGUGUAGCGGUGGAAUGCGCAGAUAUCAGGAGGAACACCUAUGGCGAAGGCAGCUCUCUGGUACGUGACUGACGCUGAGACGCGAAAGCGUGGGGAGCGAACAGG